GACGUAGGAUGCAAGCGUUGUCCGGAUUUAUUGGGCGUAAAGAGUUCGUAGGUGGUUUGUUAAGUCUGAUGUUAAAGACUGGGGCUCAACCUCGGAAAUGCAUUGGAUACUGGCAGACUUGAGUGUGGUAGAGGCAAUCGGAAUUCCAGGUGUAGCGGUGAAAUGCGUAGAUAUCGAGAGGAACACCUGCGGCGAAGGCGGGUUGCUGGGCUGACACUGACGCUGAUGUGCGAAAGCUAGGGGAGCGAACGGG
rnacentral:rRNA from 1 species